ensembl:lncRNA
CCCAAAAUAGGUCUCUGGCAUAGGGAUUAUUUUGAGCUAAUGGCAAUUGAGAACCAGCAGGGACAGUAAAAGCUGUUUACCUCCUCCGACCUAAGAAGAGGGUUCCUCUUUUAUAAGAGAAAUUUACAUUUAUACAGGAAACUUCCUUGUGUAAAGGAAGAGAGCUAGCUACUCCGGGAAAGGACUCUUGUCACCCUAGAUGCUCCUAUCUGCAUAACAAGACAGCUGCGUUAGUCCUGCUGUUCUCCCCUCUCCUUCCCGUAACUUGCACUUUCCCCUUGUUUAGCCUAAGGUCCUGUAUAAGCCUCAAUUAUCUGGUGCUUCCUUGUUUCUCUUUGCUUUGGAAACUCUAGGGAGCUGGUGGGUGCAUAAUUAAACUGUUUUUCUCUUGUUAGUUUCUUUUGUCAGUUUAAUUUCCUGGGUCCCAGUUGGAAAACCUAGGAUGGAGGAGGGAAAAAUCUUCAACACCUAGAGUUUUGGCAACCGCUGUGCGACAGCUGGGACACCCCACUUGCUCCAGAGGCUGAAGUGGAAAUCUGGUACCCCUGGCAAAAGCCUCCUCCACCCUGAACUUCUGUCCAAAGCAACAGAACCAAGUGACCAUGGACUAAAACCUGAAACUGUGAGCAAUUUGUUUAUCUCAGGUGUUUUAUUACAACAAUGGAAAGCUGACUUCCAUAGGUUUAUUUCUGCUUCGGUUCUACAAUUAUGUGAGCUUCCAUAUUUGACUUUUAAAUCUUUACUGUCACUUUGGUUAAAUAAAUAAGUAUUGUUUCAUCGUGACCCAUUAUCCCAUUUAAUUAAGUGUUCAAACUUAUGAAAUUGUUUGCCAAGCGUUCCCAAAUGAAAUUCUGAAGACUUUUUUACUCAGGACUUUGCGCUUGCGAGGCAGGUGGCAGCACCACUGAGCUAAAUCCCAGGCCCUUCUGAAGACUUUUUUUACCUUGAACUUGGAGAUUCCCCAGAGGGACCCUGGAAAAUGUCAAAGGAUUUGUUCUCUCACCUUGAAAAGGGGAGAUGUUAAACUAAUUAAGUUUCUUUGAGAUGCUAAAUUACAGAGGACACAUUGUCAACUAAAAAGAG